GAUCUACUAGUACAGUUGCUAUAAUGAAGAGUCUCCGCCCACAAGGACGUAUACGCACCCCAACGCCAGGCACGUCACGCACUUUGGAGAAGAGAGCAUUGAGCAGGAGAGGUCAGGUCGCUCAGUUCCGCAGCCUGCACUGUGCUCCCCGGCCCGCAGCUACUCUGUGCUUUCAUAUAGCUUGCGGCCUGGGGGCACUGCAAUGUGUGCUCCUGGCCGCUCUGAACUCUGACACCCAUUCACUGUCCUCAAAUGUGGUGUUUCAGGGCUGUAGCAGUUUGGACAGUGUCACAGAGCAGCCAGCCUUCUCUAUAUGCAGAUGCAGUUCGGGAUUGUUGUGGCCCCUCCUCUGGGACAAGCCAGCAAUGAGCUGAGCUCCUAUACUGGCUGGCCCCUCCUCUCCUGUGUCCCGACCUCCUCCCUUCGGACUCAGUUUUUCCUGGCCAGCAUCCAUCCUACUCCCUGCUUUCUACACUCACCAGGGCCGCAGCCCGGCCGGUCAGCGUCAGGGGUUGUCACGACAACCAGACGCAUAUUGGAUGACGUCAACAGCAGGGAGCCGGAAGAGAAGCCGGGACUCGUACAGCCGGGCAGGCGUGAUGCACAAGGCGGGAUUCUUUGGUAUUUAAGCAUUGGGAACCCCUGAGAGAAGUAAGCGUUGCCAUGGUCACACGGCCCACUACGAUACGUCACUUCCGGCAUUGACGCAACAAGCAGAACACUGUACCGGAAGUGCGGCUGGCGUGUCCGCGGCGGACGCUGGCGGGGAGAUCAGAAAGAGG